rnacentral:rRNA from 1 species
UCGAGGAUCUUCGGCAAUGGGCGCAAGCCUGACCGAGCGACGCCGCGUGUGCGAUGAAGGCCUUCGGGUUGUAAAGCACUGUCGAGGGGGAGAAAGGCCCGCAAGGGCUUGAUCGACCUCUGGAGGAAGCACGGGCUAAGUUCGUGCCAGCAGCCGCGGUAAGACGAACCGUGCGAACGUUGUUCGGAAUCACUGGGCUUAAAGGGCGCGUAGGCGGGCUCUCAAGUCAGGGGUGAAAUCCCGCGGCCCAACCGUGGAAGUGCCUCUGAUACUGGGGGCCUUGAGGGGGAUAGGGGCGUGCGGAACUUGGGGUGGAGCGGUGAAAUGCGUAGAUAUCCCAAGGAACACCGGUGGCGAAGGCGGCACGCUGGGUCCCAUCUGACGCUGAGGCGCGAAAGCCAGGGGAGCGAACGG